UGGAGGUUUCUUGCUUUCAGGAGGCUAUUACCCAUAUGGAAGAUUAUAAUCUUAGAUAUGAACUAUUUUUAAUUAAAUUUUAGAAUAAUGGGGCCAAAUUCCACAUAAUGGCCGAACCCCCCUUGUUUUUUGUUUAAGUUUGCACAAUUUUCCUUUAUAUUUGGUUUAUUUGUUGGUGAUUUGUUUUUGGAUAUUAAGUUUUUUGUAAUUACCAUCCUUGAAUACUUAAAUUAUUUUGAGUGGAUAUUUGUUUUUAGAACUUUUAUGCAUGUGACCGAUUCAAAUUAAUUUUUAUUUCUAGGUAUAUAACUAGUCUUGGCAGUUCUUGACACGACCUGAUAACCCAACACGACAUAACACAAAAUUAACAGGUGUUCGGAUCGACGCAAUAAUGAAUCGGGUCGUUAUCGGGUAACUCGAUAAGCACCUGUUAAGAUAGCGGAUUGGUUCGGGUAUACACGUGGGUAACACGGUACAUGAUAAGCAAAAUAUUAAUUUUAUAAUUUUAUAACCCUAAAAAAAUACUAUACUA
rnacentral:lncRNA from 1 species